UCCCUGCUGGCACCCCGCCUCCAGCACCACCUGCGAGCUCAGGGGCCGGCGGGCGGGCGCGGGGCUGGGGGCUGCUCUCCGCAUCGCCAGCACAAGCCGCCCGCGGCAGCCGCGUGAGGGAGCCCGGCUGGAUCUCCUGCUGCUGCCUGAGCCGCGGGGGAUGGAGGAAUAGAGGGUCUCCACCACCACCACGGCUAUGCCCCCCCGCACCUUUGCAGCCCCCGCACCCUCUGCAUAGGAGCCACCCCCGCCCCCAAGCUCAGGCGGGGAGCGGGAGCUGGGCGCGCAGCGCUGUCCAUUCAGCACCAAGCGCGGGCAGCCCCCGGGGAGCACCGCUUCAGCAGCGGGGCAAGGACGGGCAAAGCCGGCUCGCAGGUACCAGGCGCCUGGCGCUGCCGGUCGGACUGCUGCAGAAUGUGAGGUGAAUCCACAAGGAGCGAGCCGAGAGGGGGAAAUCCCCCGCCGCAGCCGUCGCUUUUGUCUCGAUUCAAGAUCUGAACCUGGAGAUUUUUUUUCGUUUGUUCCCCUUCUGCUGCUUCUACAUUUCGGUGGUUUUACCUUCGCCCCCAAAGAAUUGGGGUGGGGGGGGGGUUAAAAUCAGGAUCGCCGCGUGUGGAGCUCCCCAACGGCAGCUACCUCUGCUUCUGUCGGUCUCGCAAGGACUUAAAGUACAGCACGAGCGAGAGAGGGGGGGGGGUUUAAAAAAAAACAACCACCCAACCCUUCAUCAAUAGAUCUGGUCUGUGGCUGCGGCUGGGCGCUAGUAUCCGCCCCCUGCAUCCCCCGUUGUGUGUCUGUCUGUCUGCGAUCCCCUUAUACCCUCUCCCCCCGCACCCACCCUCCGUUUGUUUUUGCACCCAGCUGCCACCAUCAUCAGCCCCCGCCCCCUUCCCAGCUAAGAGGUUCCUUGAACAGAUGUGCACCACUGGAUUCUUUUCCGGCCACAUCUAACUAAGGAAAGAACCUCCCCCUGCCCCAUACCUAGGUACCUGGCAGACCUCUGCGACUGCUGUUCUUGGGGAGUGGGUGUCCUCUCCCCUCCAAACCCUGGCUUAAAAUAAAACAGUACAAGAGCUUUUAACUGCAAAGAGAAGGAGCCUUAGGACUGCCAGCAUUAACUUUCAGUGGUGCCCUUGGGGCUGCAGCAUUUGGAAGAACAGGCACGAGGGACUGACACCAGUUGGGUGCCCUUUGCCUAGGUGAUUCCUGACCAGCUGGAUAAAUUACCACUUUAGGUGUCGAUCGCUGUCAAGAAGCCGCCCCCUUAUGCGCUUGCUGUGUGCCGUGCUUCCUUGCAUGAGUCUGCGACAUGCCUAGUAAGAGACGAGAUGGGCCAGGGCGACGAGAGCGAUCGCAUCGUGAUCAACGUGGGAGGGACUAGGCACCAGACUUACCGCAGCACCCUGCGCACCCUGCCUGGCACUCGGCUGGCCUGGAUCGCUGAGCCCGAUGCCCACAGCCACUUUGACUAUGACCCACGCACAGACGAGUUCUUCUUCGACCGGCACCCGGGCGUCUUUGCCCACAUCCUGAACUACUACCGCACAGGCAAGCUGCACUGCCCGGCGGAUGUGUGCGGGCCUCUGUACGAGGAGGAGCUGGCCUUCUGGGGCAUUGACGAGACCGAUGUGGAGCCCUGCUGCUGGAUGACCUACCGCCAGCACCGGGACGCCGAGGAAGCGCUUGACAGUUUUGGUGGGGCACCGCUGGACAGCAGUGCUGACGACGGAGAUGCGGAUGGCACUGGAGACUCCGGGGAUGGCGAGGAAGAGCUGGAGAUGACUAAACGCCUGGCACUCAGCGACUCACCAGAUGGCAGGUCCGGGGGCUUUUGGAGAAGGUGGCAGCCCCGAAUCUGGGCACUUUUUGAGGACCCCUAUUCCUCCAGAUAUGCAAGGUACGUGGCAUUCGCCUCUCUCUUCUUCAUUCUGGUCUCCAUCACCACCUUCUGCCUCGAGACCCACGAGAGAUUUAACCCCAUCGUGAACAAAACAGAGACUGAAUUCACUGGCAACGACACCCAUGUGCGACACUACAGGGAAGCGGAGACCGAGGCCUUUCUGACCUAUAUCGAAGGGGUCUGUGUGGUCUGGUUUACAUUUGAGUUCCUGAUGAGAAUCACUUUCUGCCCAAACAAGGUGGAAUUUAUCAAAAACUCUUUGAACAUCAUUGACUUUGUGGCCAUUCUGCCUUUCUAUUUGGAGGUUGGACUCAGUGGCCUGUCUUCCAAAGCUGCUAAGGAUGUCCUGGGCUUCCUACGAGUAGUCCGGUUUGUGCGAAUUCUGCGAAUUUUCAAGCUGACCCGCCACUUUGUGGGGCUGCGGGUCCUGGGACAUACUCUCCGUGCCAGCACAAAUGAAUUCUUGCUGCUCAUCAUAUUCUUGGCAUUGGGCGUCUUAAUCUUUGCCACAAUGAUCUACUAUGCUGAGAGAAUAGGUGCUAAACCCAAUGAUCCUAGUGCCAGUGAACAUACACACUUUAAAAAUAUCCCCAUCGGCUUUUGGUGGGCUGUUGUCACCAUGACUACCCUGGGCUAUGGAGACAUGUAUCCUCAGACUUGGUCAGGCAUGCUGGUGGGGGCUCUCUGUGCUCUUGCAGGUGUGCUGACCAUUGCCAUGCCUGUCCCCGUCAUUGUGAACAAUUUCGGAAUGUAUUACUCCUUAGCUAUGGCUAAGCAGAAGCUACCAAAGAAAAAAAAGAAGCAUAUCCCGAGGCCACCCCAGCUGGGAUCCCCCAAUUAUUGUAAAUCUGUCGUAAACUCUCCACACCACAGUACUCAGAGCGACACAUGCCCACUGGCCCAAGAAGAAAUUUUAGAAAUUAACAGAGCAGGUAGGAAACCUCUUAGAGGAAUGUCCAUCUGACCUUUAACGUCCAUACCUUGUAGAGAUUUAAGAUUCAGUCAGACUGCUUUCUUAGAGCAAUGGGUAGCACAUUUAUCCAUUACAGUCCCACCACCACACACUGAAUAUCAUGUGUGAAGUCUAGGUUGCGGGGACAAAUGGCGCAGGGGAGGCUGCUCAGCAAAAUUAAGGAUGAGAUCAUACUCCAGGAGCCUUAACUUUGGUCCUGGUCAAGGGAAUACAUGGUUCAAGAUAUUUUUGAAGAGCAAUUACAUCUAGUGGAAGAAAAUUUUAGCAUUCUACAGCCAUGUUGCUGGACUCUAUAGUGCAUCAUGGAGGCACCUGAGAGCGGAAUGCUUCCUAGCAGUGCAGGAGCUGAGUACGCAGCUCUUACAGAGAUUUCUGACACAACGGGGUCAGAAUUUGAAAAAGCCAGAUGUUUUUUUAAUUUGUUUCCAGCUGUGACCCUUCAGCUGUUUUUAAAUGGCAGGUAUUGUGCAUCUGAUUAAAGAUCUAGGUGCCUACUAAAUUGGAGGGACGACUACACCAACAUGCAUAUUCACAAGGCAAUCCCAUCUCUUUCAGAUGAUUAACUGCAAAGUAGAAUGAUAGCUUCAAUUCUUGACACUAACACAAAAUGACUCACUAGGAGACAAUUAUAGAUGUAAGGAUGUUAACUCCAUAGCAUGCAAACCAACCCAUUCUAUAUUACACUAGAGCUUAGCAUUUAGAGUUAUGAAGAGUUUUGAACUACAGUAGCUAAAACAUAUUUGCUCCUCAUGAAAGCAUGGGUUGAUGAUCUACAGCUCUUUCAACUUUUUAGUAGUAAAGGUUGACUGGAAAAGGGAUAAUACUGGUCGUUUCUGGCAGAUUUGUACUAAACAGCAAUGAGUGAUAAUCUCACAACAGGGUAGUCUUAUUUUUUAAUUAUAUGGAUUCAUGUCAGCAAUAGAAGAAAACCCCAAUGAGAGUAACAUUAUAAUUUCAUACUAAUUACAUUUGGGGAGAAAUACUAGUCACCAUGGAAUAUAUUAUAAUAUCCCAUGGCUAGUGGUUAAUUAUGGGACUAUCUCAGUUUUAUGAGAAUCCUCACAUAUAGCAUAAAAUUACAGGGCUCCAACCUGAUGAUUCUACCCCAUAAGCUACUCUACCUGUGGAAUAUCAUCUAUUUAUUUACUGUAUGGAAACAGUAAAUUCAAAGCAGCUCACACUUAAAAUAUCACCAUAACCAUUUUGGUAGAGGUUCCAGCCCAGCUGUACAGUGUGCAUUCUUCAGCCUGUUACAAAAUACUUCCCUCAGCGUGUAUUGUGUUAGAUAAAACAGGUCACCAAUAGAGUGAUUCUGACUGAGCUUUAGUCACAAAGAGGCAUUUUGAAAGAACUAGCUUUCACCUAUGAUGGUCUUGUGUUCUUAUCAUUUUUUACUUUGAAGAAAAUUCUGGUUUGUCACUCCUCAUGGGUGAGAUAUUGUCUCUUCAUCUCAUUGCCAUGCAUGUUGAUGUCAUUGAAAGAAGCACAAAGGAAGUGAGACCUUCCUUUGUGUGUGAAUUUUAGGAUGCCAGUGCUAAUUUCUGAAAAGUGGGAGGAAGUGGACGGUGACUUUGGGUUUUUUGUUUUUGUUUUUUCCUUUUGUGCAACUAUGUAAAAUUAAUUUAGAUGGUAAAGAGCUUUCAUUUUUUUCUUUUCUGUUUUAAAACUCUCCCAUUGCAUUAGGUCGACUGCACUCCAUGUGAUAGACUGUCUCUUUACUGUUUUACCUUCAUGCACACAUACGGUUUUAUCUGUCCAUUCCCCUCAGGUUGCAAAUGCUUAUCACAAAGUCAUCUGCAGGCAAGGAAGUAACUUCCUCAUGAGUAGAUGCUUUGUGGCUCUAUAAAUCAGGAGGAAAAGAGGGCACUCACAAAAUGGUGGGUCACAACUGAAUGUCACUCCAGCUACCCAGUUGUUAUGUGGGCAGGGAGACACCAGACUCGGAGUGGUUUAGUGGAGAGCUAGAGAAUGACUUCUUACCCAGAAGUCCCUUGCUUUAAGUUCCUCCAAUAACAUAUCCUGGUCCUUGAACUUUUGAGGACUUGGGACCCAAGAACUCUGCGAGUUCAAUUCAACUCCACACCGGUAUCCUGAGAAUACGUGUAACUUUGGUUCAAUGUGGAACUGUUUUGUCACCAUGAGUGCUCUAAUGUCAGCUGUUGCUACAGUACCUAUGAAGUACUGAUAGUGACAGCAAAUUAUCCAUUUCUGCAAUAAUUGAUUAAAAGAGUACAUAUAUAUAUUUUCAGCAGCCCUAUAACACAUUUGUACUUCAACUGAUGGAGAUGGGCUCCAUAACCAUGUUACUGGAGUUUUGAUCCUGAUCACCACUAUGCACCACUGAUAGCAAAAUCAGAUCAGAUCAGAGGCGCACUGUUAAAAGCAAGCUCUGCACAGCCUUGUCUGCAAAUCAGAAAGACCAGUGCAUGAAUCCAUCUUUAGACUCCCUUUCUAGAGUAAUCAUGUACUCCUAGGUACUGUUCUGUGUGUGAAACUUAGCGAGAGUCUCAGCAUUCCGUGGAAAUCCAUAAUGUGCAAGUAAUGAAUGUUCUAUAUACUGUAAAACCUUUGGAUUAGUCACACUGCCUAGUUACAGACAACCGAUUAACUGUGAUUAACUAGGAACCCAAAAUGGAUUAUUUAGUGCUAAUGUCUCUAGCAAGAGAUCCACCCCAAUCCAUAUGUUUUCCCUUCAAUUUCUAUCUGUUAAACUCCAGUACAGUUUCAUAGAACUUUGUAGGAGAUACAAGACAAAUAACGUGUACCUCUAGCACAUUCUUUAACAUAUAGCCUGUUUAGUUGCUUAUGAUUGAGACAUCAAGUACAGUUAUGUAUGCUGUUUUUAUAGCAAUGUGAUAAAAACUCACAAGAUGGUGAAAUGGGGGAAAUGGUUCCACCUAUUACAGUAGCCGCCUACAGAACAGGGCCCUCUUAUUGGCAGAUUCAGAAGCAUGCGGUGGACCAAAUGCUGUACUCAGUCUUGUGCAUGCAACACACUGAAGUCAACAGACGUCUGAGGGCCAGAUGCUGAUAUCUUUACUCAGGCUGACCCUGCAAGCAGAAGUUAGCCCCUAGUCUAUGACUCUGAAUAGCUCCUUUAUGUGAUGACAUGGCUUUCUGGCCAUUCAUGGUCUGGGACUCCAUCGUUCACACAGGGGUGCUCUUAAGUGGAAAUUGGAACAGGUCAGAACAUUUCAAAAAUGUUAAGAAAAAUGAGAGGGAAAUUGUGAACAUGCCAUUAUUUCUCCUCCCAUUUUCUGCCCUGCUCUACUGGAAGUGCUACUGAUGUAGACAAGAGAUGAGCUAUGCAAUGGAGUCUCUCCUAGGAAAUGCCCAUGACAGAACAUUCCAGUGUUGGGUUAAUCAUUUACACAUAAAGGCAGUGAUUCUCCACGGGACCUGAGCUCACGGCUCCUUGAUUCUCAGCUGUCUGGCCCUGGCUUAAAUUAAAUCAUCGGGGCGGGGGGGGGGGGGGGGAGGAGCUUUAACUGAUGCCACUAAUGCAAGGUGGCUCUAAACCAGUGACAAACUGGUCGCAGCAGAGCCUUGCUCUGCCACACUUCCCCUCCUGGCAACAACUCACCAUGUCCCUGUCUCUCCAUUCCCUUAUGUUUGGCAGGGAGGGGGCAGCUUCUGGGGCAGGAGGUGUGAAGUCAUGGCAGCAGCUUGAAGCCAGCAGUGAUUCCCCCUGCACAGGGGGAAUUCUCCAGGGACAAUCUCUGGCCACUUUAAAUUCACUUUUUGCCACUUAUGUAGCAAAGGGAUCUGGGCAGAUUGGAGAAUUGGACCCAAAACGAUACAAAGGAGUAAAUUUCACCCAUGACUAGCAUGACUAUAAAACUACUUGAAACCCAGACUUGAUAUAUGCUAAAUACUAUAUGGGCCUAGUUGCCUAUGCCUUUAAAACAAGCAUAUGCCUUUCCAGGCCCUGACUCCACCAAAACAGAUUCUGUUGCUAUUUACUAUUUGUAUUGCCAUAUGACCUAGCAGCCACUGUCAAGGUCAGGGACCCAAUGAGAAAGAAAGAGAUAACCCUCUACCCCAAAGACUUACCGUCGAACUGAACAAGAAAGGCAAAGGGUGGGUAGAAGGAAGUAUUAUCUUCAUUUUACAAGUGGUGUUUGGGAGAACAUGAGAUUAAAGUGACUUAUCCAAGGCCAUGCAGGAAGUCUGUAGCAGAGCUGGAGACUGAGCUGGGAUGGCCUGGGUCCCAGAAGCAUGCCCCUAACAACAAAAAAGACAAUUAACAACAAAGAGUAAUAAUAAUAGUAGUAAUCCCUUGCACUUGUAUAUCAUCCAAGAGUCUCAAAAUGCUUUGACAGCAUUAGGUCUCCUAACUAGAGCUGCAUGACAAAUCAAGUGAACCCAAAUCUCAAAACAGAAUUCAACCUAAACUGUUCAGCUUUACCGGGAUUGUGCCCAAAGCCACAUGCUGCCCCACGACAACAUGAAACUCAGCCCAAGAUCACAAACAACUGCAAAACAGGCCCAAGUUUCAGGCUGGCGACAAAGCCUCAAAACAGGCAAAACAAAUCUCCAAACUACUUGGUGGGGGUUUCGUUAUGAAAAUUGCAUGUGACUCUCCUCGUCCUCACCCCUGUGUGGCUGCCCGAAGGAUGUGCUGGCUUUAUGGUUAUGUCCUACAGUAUCCAUAGGAAGAGCUGGAUGAUGCUGUUUGCCAAUCUAUAAUGGUGGGUCUGGAAUACUAAUGGAAUCCAUAGCUCCACUUGAUGUCUGUAACAUUGCCUGCAUUUUGGUGCCACGAAUCAGCUGCACUCAGACGGAAACAGAGUGUGAUCAGAGUUAAGCACCUAAAGAAAAGGAGAUGGGUGAUUUUUGUUCCCUGACCCGUGAAAGGAUCUACCCAAACCUUUUCUCUAUAUUUCUCUACACAUACACAUCAUUGGAAGGGAGACAUUGCAGGUGCUUUGACGCUCUCCGGAACCCUGAGAUAAGGAUUCCCUCCGCCGCUGAGUGCUCAGCACCCUGCCUCUUUUGAGCUAUGGUCUAGAUAGAGAGUAUCCCUGGGUGUACGUAUUGUGCAAUCGGGGUAACUUCCUUGCAGCACUGUAAACAAUGAAGGCUGAAUUCUCCACUCAGUGCAGAGCUUGGGAAACCAGGCUGCUGCUGGAGGAAUGUGGGGGAAAGGAUCGCAAGGGAAUCAAGGGCUGGAGAGGAGCAAAAUAAACCAAGAUUCCAGAGCUAGUUCAUCACCUUUACAUCUGCCGUAGCCUUUGCAGUUGUUAUGCUCUGUUGCUGAGAGGGAGAAUGACCAGUAGCCCUCCCCAAACUCUCCCACUCUCUGCAUGGGAUGGGACAAGACUUGACCCUAAGAAUUUUUUAUUUCAUUGUAACAUAUCGAGAGAGAGCUGAUCUCCAUUUUUAAAUAUGAUUUGGGGCCACCUUUGGGUUCAGAUUCAUUUUUAUCAAUGGAAACACUGUCUAGAAAAGUUGAUCUAGGCUUCAUUUCUUCUUCCGCUGCCACAAAUAAACCAAAUAACCUGCACUCAAAAAACAUACUGCCUCUGAUUUUCAGGAGUGCAGAGGUCCCACAACUCCAGCUGGAGUUAAUGGGAGUUGCAGGUACUCAGAGGUUCUGAAAAUCAGGUGUCUCGUCUACUAGUUGCAGUUUGUGAUCGUAAGCAGGUUUUAUGCAACCUACACUGCACAUUUUGAAGAUACGAGUACCAUGAAUUUGUGGCCGUAUACAUAUCCAUAAAUAUCAUGAUGGUCCAUUAAACCACAGGUUUGCAACAAAGGGAAUAGAACAUUCCACUCAAAAUACCACUCCAGAUAAAGAAGAAUCUCAAUUGACUGUAGCAGCGUUGCUGUUUCUAUCCUUGCUGUAGACUAGCCACCAGAUAAUACAUAACCACAAAGAACUGAGCAGUUCUCGUUCACCCCCCAGCAGAAGACAGUGAUGCUUAUAUACCCUAGAUCAGUGGUUUUCAACCCAUGAUCUGCAGACCCCUGGGGAUCCACAGACUAUGUCUAAGAUUUCCAAACGGGUCCACACAUCCAUUCAAAACUCUUUAGGGGUCUGCCAAUGAAAAAGGGUUGAAAACCACUGCCCUAGAUAAACUAUUAUAUUGGGCCUGAGUCACAAAAGGUAUAAGUGGGAGAAGAUUCCCUCCCCCCAGCUUCAUUUUUGAAUUGCAAAUGGCCUUUCUAGUCUUUAAAAUUCAAACGCCAUUUAAUAAUUCCUAAUCCCAAAUAUCAAAAUUUGAAUACUUAUAGAAAAACAGUGCAAUAACGAUCACCUUGGUGUCACCCAAGAUUGAACCCGGGAUCUCCAGCUACAGCAUAAGCUCCUACAGCUUGAGGUAAAAAGACUAAGUUCUCAUGUCCGGCACCUGUCAGGGUCUCAUGUGUCCUGUAGGUCAUGCACAGAGGGAGUUCUGUAAUAUCCCUGGAACAGUGGAUUCCAAUAGCACCUCCUAAACAUGUCACUGGGCAAUUAUCCACCUGUGGUCUGACUUCCUGUAGUAGCAAUAGAACUAUAGUUUUGUUCUAAUUCAGAAUUUUAAUUAAUAUAAAUAUCAUCAAUCCAUUAAAAUUUGAAAGACACUUAGGAAAUUGUGAAUGGAAUAUUGGUCUGCUAAGCCAUGGUUCAGGUCAGGGUGACAGUGGCUGAAAGUUUUUGCCAUCCAAUGGCUGUUAGGAGGCUUACAUGAAACAAGAUGGUUGUCUCAGUCCAGGCUGUAAUGGAGAAGGGGUGGCCAAAGCCCCAAACCACCGGGACCCUUCUUGGCAGUGCUAGCUGAGUGGUCAAGUAUUGAAUAGGAAUGGAAAUGGAACUACUCUCACCGCUAAAGUGGAGCCUGUAAAUCAGAUAGGAAAGAAAUAUGGGGAAAUCACUCUACCUUGCUUGUGCUGUACCUUUUCUACGGUUAAAGAGAGGAUUUCUGUUUUCAGAGUAGUCAGCUGGGCACUUUUCACAUAUACAACAUGUGAAACCAAAAAAUAGCUCCCCAUUAUCCCUUCGGUGGCUUCAGCCCUUGCUCUCUGGAAAUAAACUGGGUCAGAUCUUCAGCUGGUGUAACUUGAUAUAGCUUCUUUUGGAGCUACACCAGUCUACACCACUGGAAGGGGGGUGGGGAACACCCCACUGAGGUUGGCAAAUAAGUAUUAUAUCCUUUCAACAAAAGGGAAAACGGAGACACAGACACCUAAUUCUCAGGUCCAUUAAGCCCGCUUUGUGCCAGUCCUCCAGCACAAAGCAGCCUUAAACCAGGCAGAUCCAGCUCCUUAAGUAUUCCCUCACUCUAGGGGGAUCCUCCAAUGAUAUACGCCUGCACUAGCAGCUCCUACAUCAUUCAACUUCCAUCCUCCAGUGCAGGUGGUGUUACUGGGAGAAAAAGGGUUGAGCAUCCCUCCAUCUUGAAUGAUCCCCAGUGGCUGGAAUUGCCAUUCUGGGCCAUGGGAAGUCAGAUGUAAAAUAGAGCAACUUUUACAUCUGAGCACUGUUUGGCUGAAGCAGAUGAGCUAAAUGAUUUGCCCACUACCACAGAACGAAUUGGUAACAGAGAUGGGACUAGAACUCAGGCACCUCGUUCUGUGCUCAGCCCACUACACCAUGACCCUCUUACUUUAUACCUGAUUUAGACUCCAUCCAAGCUUUCUCUGUCUGUUACUUCUAAGAAAAUUUGCUUUUACAAAACAAGCACAGACCAGAAGUAACUGGUAGUUUACCCAUUUCUGCUCUCAUUGUUCUUUGCAUUCAUCCAUGCUCCAUACCCUACAGAUCAUCAUACUGUAUUCUUUAUUUUUGAAAUCUAAACUAGAUCCACAAUUUGGUGCUCUAAGAUCUUAAGGGAGACGAACUUUACCUAGCGAGAAACCAAUACCUGGCUCACCAGACUGAGCUGAUAUGCUGCACCAUGUCCUACCCAAGGAUCCACUGCAGUCUAUGGAAUCACUAGGAUUUUAAUUUGACUCACAAAAGUACAGGAUCAGUGUACAGAAUUGGUGGACCAUCUCUAGCAGGGACUGCGAUGUACCUCUUUGGAAGGCAGCGCUUCCAGGAGCAACACCUCUCACCAUUGUGUUAUACACCUUUCCAAUAGUAUCUUCAGAGCAAGAAGCACUUGAUCUAUUCAUGCUCCUGUACCUACUCCCUGCCUCCAAACCUAUCAACAGACAGGAAGCCAACAUGCUGUCGCCUCACUUCAGGAAGUAACGCCUCUUGAAGGUGAUAUUCUCUGACAGUGAUGUCACAAUGUUGGCCAAUCAGGGUUGUCUGAGGCGGUCAUCUUAUUCACUGGAGUACCUUUAUUGGGGACAACCUUACCUGGAGGGACCCAUUUCAACAUGGUGGUGAGUAAAUAUUCAGAGGUAGGUCGGGUUUGAGGAGCAUCUGGGAAUUUGUCUAUUAUUCCAAAUUUCUGCUGUAGAGGAGACAAAUUCUGCUCUCAGCUGUACCAACGUAAAGUCUGUUGGUGUGACAUCUACUCAAGAAUACUUCAGAAUAAGUUUAAAAUAUACAGUAAAAUAAUAUUCAGGUGUUUGUUAAAGAUAACUACAUCUGACUCUCUACAAAGCAUGAAAAUCUUGGGGUAGCUAAAAUGAAAUUGAGUUGCUGUGUAGGAACAAAUGAAUUCUUUUACAUGUUCUUCACAUUUUCUCUCUCUCUUUUCUCUCUCUCUCUCGUUCUGUUUGUUAACAUUUACUUGUUAUUAUUGUAUGUUGCUUGCAACUUGUGUAUGUUACAGACUGUCACAUUUUAUUCUGUGAAGUUUUUCUCCAAUCCCAUCAACCCGAGCUCCAUAUUGGGCAGCAGAGGAGAUUACAAUACUGUUCUUUAAAUACAAAACGACAAGGAAUGUCACAGACUAUAGGUAACUCCAUUGGGUUGUGACACAAGGUAUUAAUGCAAAGAGUAAGUACACGAUGCAAGAAAGCACGAUCUAGCUAAUGUGCUAUUUCUUUCAGAUAGUCUGCAUGGAAAACAAUUAAUUUUCAUUGCUCUCCAGCAGAAAAUGUCCCAAACAUACUGGCUUAGAGACCUGCUGUUUUAAAAAUCAGUGAUUCCCAUCUUAGCACAUCAUAGCUCAUUUUCAAAGACUCAAACCCACGCUCUCUGUGCUAACUUCCAUCCAUAUCCUCCACGCCAUAAUUUCAUCAUUUCAAUUGCUUGUGGCUUAUUAUAUCUUCCCCAUCAUUCUUUAGAUAAUCUCAUGUAGUUGUUAUAUCCCUUGUAUUUUAAGGGCCUGAUUUAGCAAUGACAAAAACAAACCUCUGCGCCUGUGAUCCAUGUUUCUGAACCCUACCCAGGGGUCUGGAGUCCAUAAAAAAUUCUUUCUGUAGCCUAGCAUGGUCUAGAGUGGAAGCCAAAUGGAUAUUUUGUUGAAUCAGGUCCUGGCAGAGGCUUUUGAUUGUCACCUGCAUGUUAUUUGUGGGGUCUGGGAGGGAAUGAUAAAAAGAGGCUGAGAGGUAUUUUUGUAUUUGUUUCCUAGAGAAACAGUAUUAGGUUUAUUGCUUCUAAUCUCGCUCUUAGUUGCAAGUGAGAUAUAUUUAAUUUCAAAUUGACAAUUGCCCAGACACUAAAGCAGCAAGGUUGUAUUUUUAUCAAUUCAUAAUCUAUUCCCAUAACUCCUUAUUCUAUGGCAUGCUCUGACCCUCUCGUCAACUGUGGGGAAACACAGAAGAGUUCACCGGCAGGAGGAAGGGGCAUUGCAAGACAGACAAUUCCACCAAUCAGAGAUUAAAAAUAGUGGGUUUCUCAGGUGCUCAGCAGCUCCCAGGAUUUGGUCCUACACUUUUACAGGUCUCUACAACCUCCUUUGGAACUCAGAUUGAUCAUCGUUACAUAAAAAAAGGGCCGUUUCUUAAUAGUUCAGCACAGGAAAUGAGGAGGAUGGGAGAUAAAGUUGACUACAAGUCACCAUUUACACUUUCCCUACUGUGGGGAUGCCUAAAGGUUUGCCUAGCCCCCACCAUAAGCUACAGCAACCUCAGGGCUGCUUGAAUUUGCAAUCAACUACCUAACUGACCAUGUGGCUGAGAAUAGCCAGAGCAUGGCAAUUCUCCAACCACAUCCCCUGGAACAGAUUUCCACAUUUGGGGCAGGAAGGAAUUUUCCCCAAGGUCAGAUUGGCAGAGACCUUGGUGGUUUUUCGUCUUCCUCUGCAGCAUGGGGCACAAGUCACUUGCAGGUUUAAACUAGUGUAAAUGGUGAAUUCUCUGUAACUUGAAGUCUUUAAACCAUCAUUUGGGGACUUCAGGAACACAGCCAGAGGUUCGGGAUCUAUUACGAGAGUGGGUGGGUGACUUUCUGUGGCCUGGGGUGUCCAGGAGAUCAGAUUAGAUGAUCACGAUGGUCCAUCCUGACCUUAGCGCCUAUGAGUCUAUUAUGGCCCAUUUACACUACCAGAAUGGUGUAAAGGGGAACCAUAAAGUAACCCAUAGAUGUUCAGUGUAAUGAGGCUAAAUGCUGAGCAGCUGUUUCCACAAUGGGGAUUAUAGGCAGUAUUCAUCUAAGAGACACUGUCUGUUGGGAGUGGAGCAAAGCGUCAGGCGCUGAAGAUAGGCGCGCUUGCCAGAACUGAGAUCCAAAAGAGCUUUAGUAAGUGUUUGAGUCCAUCCUUUGUGGGACCAUUCACAGGCUAUACCCACAUCUGUUUGGUGCCUCCCUUGAAGUCACGACUAUCAGAACCCUGCAGUGUUCUGGGCAAGUGGGGGUUCACCAGCUGAACCCUGCAGGUUUGGUUUGCAAGGGCUGGAAGGUUUGCUUGGAGGUUUCAGUUAGACUGGACACCCUCAGCAAGCAGAUCUUCAUCUUUCAAGUAACUAGUAUCCUCCCAGCACUAGCCCUUCCCUACAAUCAGCCAUUUUUUCCCUCUCCCCACCCUAUCCCUGCAUCCAGACCCAAGACCCCUUUUCUUACCUUGAGAUAGAGCAAUAUCUUGCUGCUUCCCCUUCUGGGGCCAAGAGGACCCCUCUGCUGCACCUCUGGGUCUUUGUGGGGUGCCAAGCAGCUGCUCCUUCAGCAGGGUUUGGUCUUUGGGGAGUAGACGUGAAUACAGUGGAUCACUGUCUCCUUCAAUCCUUGAACAAGGGCAGGAUAUGCUGCUUCCUCCUCCAGUAGUUAUGUGGGAGCUGAAGAAACAGCCCUACGUCUCCUGGUACCUAGCUCUCUAAUCUAGGGCUAAUGAGGCCCCAGACUCUUUAGCAUAAGAGCAAGGGAGCCCUGCUGAUGCUCAUGCCCUGGGAGAGACAACCCAUAAAUCUACCGUGCAGGAUUUCCUUGGAUAUCAUGCUAAGAAUUAUGGGAGCAUAUCUCAGCCCCAUUUCAGUUGAAGUGGCACAUUCUCAUUGCCCCACGGGUCAUGAAGGUGGCACCCCUUGCCUGGCAGGAAAUCCCGUAAGGGAUGGGGAAGGCAACAACCCACAGUGAGUGCCCUUUCAAUCUGCCCAACCCCAGAGACUCAGCUAUUAGGGAAAGUGGCCACUUCCCAGCUCUGAAGACAGGGUGAGUUAAAGGAGGGAGCCUCCCAAACCCCACAAAAAAACCCCACACCGCCUGAAGACAUUAAGAUAAGAAGGGUUCUUUCGGUUGUCAUUGGAUAGUUGGUGGGGGCGUGAAGAAGUCUGGCAAGAGGAAAAGAGGAUUUGGUUGGGCUUCCCAAAUGCAGGAACCACCUCUGCAUAUGUUUCCCAGCACUCAGAAGCACAGAGUGAGGCUCAUGGAUGCACUGAUACAUUGAGGUCUGUGAACAGCUGGGUCCAGGGUUCAGAUCAAGUAGGUUGGAGGCUCAAUGCAAAUGUUUCUCACAGCUCUAACUCAAGCACAAGCCAACAAUGGCAGUGAAGUCAAAGUGGCAGCCCUGGAACCUUUGUCUAUAGCUCAUGCCAUUGGGAAGGAGGAGAGCCCACAGACUGGGCAUGGCCAGUCUCCGUUAUAACCCUCUUCCUGCAUGCGCAGCACUCAAAGCACAGCAGUAGAGACACAACACACAUGGGAGAGGAGAUGUGUUUUGCCUGGACUGUCAGCCUUGCCUGUGAGUUUCCUGGCGGCUUUUAUUAGUUUGUACCAUUGUCUUUGUAUUUCGAAAUCUAAUUUUUGUCUGGAAAAGUCCUUGGCAUUUUAAUGGCAGUUUCCUAAAGGGGGUGAGGGGUGGGAUGAAGAAAUUUAAAACAAGGAUCCCAAUAAGAUAAAUGAUGCAAUAAACUACUUAUCUGGGAGAUCUGCUGGUGUUUCUCCCCAUAUCUAAGACAGCUGAAUAUGGAGGAUUUUUAAAAGCUUGUGUCAUUAAAUAAGCAUUUGAAGGCAGUUUAGUCCUAGGAAUGAGGCACUGAACUAGGAUUAUUCCCGAGACUCACCUGUUGUGUGACAUUGGGCAAGUCACUACACCUCUCUGUACCUUCGUUUCCUGUUGGGAGAAAUGGGGGUUGUCAUACUUGCUUUCCUUUGUAAAGCAAUUGGAGAUCUAGAGAAGAAACCUCUCUAUAGGCCUGAUCCAAAGCCCACUGAAGUCAAUAGAAAGACUCCCACUGAAUCUAGCAGGCUUCAGAUCAAGCCCUAGGAGAGCUAAACACUAUGAAUUAUACCAUGAUUCAGUGAAUAGUCCUAUCACAUCCAUUAUCUGAUGGAAAGAGCUUCUUUGGUGCUCUUGUAUUCCCAUAGUAAUACAGCAUUUUGUUAGAUAUCUUAAUCUGGGGGUAUAUCAUGCUACAGAUUUUUAGAAAGAACAAAAUCUAAGUGGCAUUCUAUGUAAAACAAUUUUUUUAUUGAGGUAAUGCUCUAGGAGCUCCCGUUGUAGACCGGAGGCCCAAUGUGCUAGGUUCUGUACAAAUGCAGAAUACCUUUUCGGUCCCUGCUCCAAAAACCUUACAAUCUAACAAGAGACAACAGGUAGAAUAUGAUUCCCUGGUAUUGCAUUCCUCCCUGAGACCAAGUAUCUUUCCUUGGAAAGGUCACUACAAUUUCCCUGGCUUCAGGUUUUAUUAUUAACAUGAAGCCCGAUUCUGCUCCCAUUGAAAUCCACAGGAGUUUUGCAAUUGACUUUACUGGGAACAAGAGCAGGACCAUAAAAACUGGCCCCACUUUGCCCAAAGGUUUACUAAUAUUUAGGAACUAUUUGAAAAAUCUUUGUCCUGUUUGGAGAGAAUUAGGGUGAUUUGAAAAUAUUGCCCCCAUGUCGCCCAUGUCAUGAAUUUGCCUUUAGGCGCAAAACAAGCACAUCUCCAGUUCCGUCAGCGGAGAUGAGCUACUAAGAUCAGGUCUUAAUCUGGCCCACCAAAGCAUACAGUGCAAAUUUCAGUUAACUGUGAAGCCUUUUUGCAUCCUUCACAUACAAAAAUAUUUUAAAAAAUCUUAAACGGAUGGAAAAAAUAAUUUGGUGCAGGUUGAUUUAUUUUAUGCCAAGUUUAGCCUAAUGCCCAUUUUUGGAACAAAUAUGUAUCCAAAAAUAUAAACCAGAAAUGAUGCUACAGGCAUCAAUUCCAUUGUCUUUAAGGGUGCAGGAUCAAGCCCUAAUUUGUUUAGUUGCCUUACAGUAAAAUCACAAUCCACUCUGUACCUUGAAAUUAACUGUGUAAUUAAAGUAAAUGCUGCAAGUGACAUCUGGGCCAAGUUUAGCUGUACACUUAAGCUCUGAUCGAACACUCACCAAAGUCAAUGGUAAGACUGCAGUUGACUUCAGUGGACUUUGGAUCAGCCACUUACUCCUCACUACUGAAAAUGUUUAGCAUGCACAGAACUCCCAGCGAAGACAAUGGGAGUUUUGAGUAUUAACUUGCGUAUGGAUUGGGCUGAAAUUUAAAUUUCUGCAUGUAAAUCCAUUACUGAUACUAUAGACUGUCUAAAAAAAUACGAUAAUUCAGUCCCCUAUUCACAGAAAUAGAAAUCUACUUCCCUCCACAGUCACUUCUGCCCAUGACGUCCCUUUCUCCCAAAUAUAGGCCAACUUGUCAUCUGUGAUUAGCACUGCAAUUUUAAUUACCACAGUGCAGAUCUCAAUGGCAUAGCCUACAUGUCUCGUGCAUAGCACAGCCAUUGACAUCAACACAAGUACUGUGGGUGGAACAGGUUUCAGGAUACACAGAGAUCUGUAGCUCAAAUUGCAGAAGAAUGAUUUGCCCACAGUUCCUUAUCUUUAGGAACUCCUGGAAUGGAAAGAAAACUCUAAAGCGGCGAUUAUUCAACAAUGUGCAUUUAAAAAUCAUUAAAUGCUCUGAGAUUAGCAACGGGGGAUACAGGGUCAGAGGCAGCCUGAAACCGGGUGGGUUGUAUGGGUGUCACUGAAGACAUUAUAGGUCCAAUCUCAUAUGUGAAAGUCUAUUACCUCUGAAAACUCUUGUAACAUUUGAGUAAAUUUAAUGCUAAUGAAAGCAAGAAAAUAAAUUGUAUCACAUAUACUGUGGGCAGUUUUUGUACAUGCUUCCUGGCAUAGCUUUGCCAUGCACCUCAAUCUUAGUUUUCAAUAACUCUUCCAUUGAGUUCUUGAGCAGAGCUUUAGUGAUGGUUUCAUGACAUGAACAACCAGGAAUGGGGGUGAUGCUCUCAAAUUCAUUUUCACUUGUAACCUGAGCUGGAGCCAAGCAUUAGGUUUCUGUAUGCUAUGGGAGUUGUGUCUUUCAGAUGAGAUGUAAUGCUGAGGUUGUGACCAUUUGUGCUCAUUGACAAUCUCGUAUUGGUUUUGGAAACAGUAGGAUGUUAACUCCAAUGUCUCAGCCAAAUGCUGAGUAAUUCUGCCUAAGUUCUCUCUGCAACUACAAUUGGAUGAGGCAUGCUUCACUUCCUGGCCUGAAGUACAAUGGCUGUGGUGUGUGCUGUUAAAUAGUGAUGUGUUACACCCAGGACGUAGCUGCAUUUUAGGGGUGGAUGUAGUGCUCCGUGGGUUUAGUUUGCAUUUCAGCUUGUACUUGCAGAGUGCUUUAGAGUGCUAUCUAAAUUAUUGCUUAUUAUUAGAUAUGAAUCAGAGCACACAGUUCUGAUCUGGAGAAGGAUCCAAACUUUCCUAAUGUUCAGAUACACAGUUUUGGUUCAGGACCAUCUCUAAUAAUUAAUAUAAUCUAAGACCCAGUGCAGCAAUGAGCUCCACACUGAAAACAGUGGGGCUCUAUGCAGGUAUAGGUGUCCCCGCUAUGCUUGACUCAUUGUAGCAUCAGGGCCUUAUCCUGUAGACGUGAAGACUAGUACACUAACCCACUGCAUUACCGAUCCCCUUAAGGAAUAGCAAAGUUCACAGUAUUUAUCAGUGUGAGUUUUAAAGUAGCAGCUCAGUAUCAUGUGAUGUCAUAGUUAUUAAGGUAAUUGUGUGGUUUUUGUGCAAAGUAAACAGGAGCAUGAAAUAGAUGUAUAUUAUUCACACACAGGAAUUGCAAUCAAUCAAUCUAUGCCCUGAAACUUCAGAAACCUGUUCAAAUUAGUCAUCAUUAGUCAUCAUCUUCAGAAAGUAUCUGUUGCUUCUAUUAGUGCGUCUGAUGUAUUAAUAAACGUAGCUGGUCAAAAAAAACAAACAAAAAACCCUACCAUCACCA